rnacentral:rRNA from 1 species
AUGGCGUCAGUGCUACUGCUCGGUGUCGUUGCGGUCAUGCUGCACCUAGCGUCUAUAUCAGCGGCACAACCUGACCGCGGAUGCAGAACACAUUGCGGUGAUGUCGAGAUCCCCUACCCAUUCGGCAUCAGUAUUGGCUGUGCUAUGGGCCAAGGCUUUGAGAUCAACUGCAGCAGGUCCGUCGAUGGAAAUGACAAGCCGUUCCUUCUUGGACGGGAGAUUGUAAGCAUAUCGCUGUCCCGUGGUCAAUCCCGAGCUUUAUCAUGCAUCCCAUCAUAUUGCUACAAUCCUAGUACAAGAACAAUGGAUAGCAAAGUUUGGGAUUUUGAAUUAAGUUGGCCUUAUCGGUUCUCAAACGUGGACAACAAGUUCGUUACCAUCGGUUGCAAUACAAUUGGGUACAUCUACAAGACCAACGGCAUGACGAGGGAUGCAACAGGAUGCGUAUCGGUGUGUGGGAGCCCAGAAGACCUGACAAAUGGCUCGUGCGUUGGUGUUGGCUGCUGCCAAAAUGUUGUCCCCAAGGGCUUAAUGGGCUACAACGUCUAUUUCUAUGAUGUGGAUUAUGUCAAUAAAACAAAUAGUUGGUACUUCAACCCAUGCAGCUAUGCCGGCUUGGUGGAAACAGAGGCGUUUAUCUUCAGCUCCGAUUAUGUAACAACUACAAGGUUCAAUGAUACCUACCACGGCCGCCAGCCGGUGGUGCUUGACUGGGUGAUUGGAAAUGCAACAUGUGAGGCGGCACGCAGAAACAUGUCUUCCUAUGCGUGCCGUGGCGGGAACACCGUUUGUGUGGAUUCGUCCAAUGGCCCAGGGUAUCGUUGCAACUGCUCCGUCGGAUACCAAGGGAAUCCUUACAUCUCGGGCGGAUGCACAGGCAAGUUCCUCCUUGCUCAGCAUGGAUCUUUACGCAGUCCAAGCCCCUGCCCUGAGUCUGCAUCUUGCGAAAACAUAGCGGGAGGUUACCAUUGUUCAUGUCCUUUUGGCAGCAAUUUUUCAAAUGAAACAAACACUUGCACCAACCGGUUUAUAGGAAUUGUUAUUGGACUAAGCUCUGGUAUUGGAGUUCUGUUUCUUGCGUCAAUUUCAGUUUUGUUGGUUCAGAAGUGGAAGAGAAGUACUAAAAGGCGAGUUCGGAAAGCACACUUCAGGAAAAAUAACGGCCUUCUCUUGGAGCAAUUGAACUCAUCCGAUGAAAGUGCCGCACAUAGCAGCAAAUUAUUUUCCUUGGAUGAGUUGGAAAAGGCAACGGAUAAUUUUGACUCCACGCGCAUUCUAGGCCUCGGAGCGCAUGGUACCGUUUACAAGGGGAUUUUAUCAGAUCAACGUGUGGUGGCCAUAAAGAAGUCCAAAAUGGUCGAUCAAAUAGAGAUUGAUCAAUUCGUGAACGAGCUUGCCAUUUUGUCACAAAUCCAUCACCGAAACGUGGUAAAACUAUAUGGAUGCUGCCUUGAGUCGGAGGUGCCUUUGCUUGUGUACGAGUUCAUCUCUAGCGGCACGCUCUCUGAGCUUCUUCAUGGUGACCACCUGAGUGCUAGAAGCUUGUUAACCUGGGACGAUCGUAUCAGAAUCGCUAGCGAGGCGGCAAGCGCUAUUGCUUACCUCCAUUCCGCUGCUGCAACACCAAUUUUUCAUAGGGAUGUGAAAUCUGACAAUAUACUCUUGACGGAUAACUUCACCGCAAAGGUUGCAGACUUUGGUGCUUCAAGAUCCAUUUCCAUCGACGAAACUUGUGUGGUCACGGCAGUGCAGGGUACAUUUGGAUACUUGGAUCCUGAAUAUUACCAUACAUGCCAACUGACUGAGAAGAGCGAUGUUUACAGUUUUGGUGUGAUAAUCGCUGAGCUCCUUACUAGGAAGCAGCCAAUCUUCCUCAAUUCCAGGGGUGAAAAGCAGAACUUGUGCCACCACUUCCUUCAAAGGCUACAGGCUAACACUAUGAUGGAGAUCGUCGAUGUUCAAGUUCUCGAGGAAGGUAAUGACAGGCAGAUCAGUGAGAUGGCCGCUCUUGCGAGGGCAUGCUUGAGGCACAAAGGUGAGGAGAGGCCUACCAUGAAAGAGGUGGAGCAUAGGCUGCAGCUCCUGAGAGGCAAGAUGUCAAUGAAGAAAAACCAUGAGUUGGAGGUGGACACUGAAGCCGGGCCAUUGUAA